rnacentral:rRNA from 1 species
GUAAGCGGCCAUCGCGGUGGGGUUCCUCCCGUACCCAUCCCGAACACGGACGAUAAGCCCACCUGCGUAUCGGUGAGUACUGGAGUGAGAGAUCCUCUGGGAAACUCGAUUCGCCGCUUUUA